AUAAAAUGUUAUGUGUGUGUACUUUGUAUUGAUCGUUUUCAAAAACAUUUUGACGUUUGUGAAACAGUCAAAUUAUACUUCAAGAGACUUAUGAGUUCCUUUGCUGAAACAAAUAAUGCAAAACACAAUGUUGGAGAAUUUUUCUUUUUAAAUAGAACAAGUGGUGGUGGGGGGGGGUUAAAAUUCCUUGACUGCUUUUUUUCUAAAAUGAUUUUCAUCACUGAUCCUAGUAAUCCUAGUAAUCUGUCUGUUUUUCUCUAUUCUAGAACCGGAUGUUGCUUCAAGUGAUGCCACAAACAUGAAGUGCACCCUUCACAAAGACAAAGACCAUUUUAUCAUUAAUGGAAAAAAGUGGUGGAGCAGCGCCUUUCUCUUUGGACAAGCCCAUCCUGAGAGGUGUGAAUCUUCUCAGACCUUAAAAGGCUCAUGCACAGUUCCACCCAGGUCUUCUGCUGCUAAACUUCUGUUAAAUCUUCUGAUUCCUGAACGUGUGGAGAGCCUGAGCCAGUGCCCGGGGGGCUCCAACACAUAGCCUGUCAGUCUGCGCUUCUCUUACAUUCUGAGGAUGAGGAUGUGAGCUAGUCUUCUAAGGACACCCUAAGUUCAUGCCAGGCCUCUGCCUUGACUUUCCAUUCAAUAAAAGAUCCUAGGAUCUCAGCUGAUGUCUCUCUUAGCUCUUUUUCACUUUCCACUGGGAAGAAACUCCCAAUCACCAUUGAGUCAGAACACCUUUGGAAUUCAUCACACUUCAAAACCGGAAGAGCAUAAUCGCAAGUCCAAAACCUCCAAACCAUCAAGACUUUCAUCCGAGACUGCAUCCCAAUGCUUGUUCCAGGCCAAGGCAAUGCAAGUAUUAUACAUUUAACUAAAUGAAACCGAGGUUUAGUAUAAUGGUGCUGAGUUUUACUCAGGUGGUUAACUGACUCUUUUCAUAGCUUCAUUCUCUGGUUUUCCUGAUGGUUUCAUCCAACAAAUCUCAUUUGUCCUUUCCCCUGUAUUAGUGUUUGUUUGUUUGUGUUUAGACUAGUUUGUGUUAGUGUUUAGUUAAUAAAACUCUUGUGCACAAAUUACACGAGUUUCUGAUUCUGCCUUGCAAAUUAAUUGUCCCUUUAUGAUUUUGAUCCUUGCUACAUGCUCUAAUGAAUUAUUAGGCUACUGUAAGAAGGUUGUUUUCUGUGGCCACGAAAUUAACCUUUCUUAGACUUUAUAUUCGCUAAACGAACAGAUUAGUUGACGGCAAUUUAAUUCUGCUACAGUUACUACUGGCAGCUCAUAUAAAUAAUUGUAAUUAAUCAUGAUUAAUUGUAAUUAUUUAUAUACAUUUCCCUUUUGAGCUAAUUUACUACAGAUGUAUAUUUUUAGCGCCCUAACCUGGCAGAGAAAGUUAAGCUCCUGGUCCUCCUUAGAAGGAGGAAGCACAGAGAGAGUAAUAACCUGGGCUCUGAAUGGAGUGUAGAGCACCAUGUCUUGGUUUUAGAAUGACUUUGUUAGGCCCGAACUCAAGACAGGCAAGACUUACCGAGAGAGCCUGCAAGUCACCUACUCGAUGCUAAUGCCAGUAGCAGAGCGGUUUUCAACGACAGGGUUUUCAAGUCUGCAGACUGUAGUGGCUCAAAGGGGGAGCCCUUGAGGGCUCUAAGGACCAUGGGCAGGUCCCAUGCAGGGACCGGGGCAGAUUGAGCCUCCUGGAUCCUCUCAGGAAACGGACAACUAAGUUGUUCUGGCCCUCUAGGGGAAUUCGUGGCCUAGUGGUUAGAGAGUUUGACUCCUAACCCUAAGGUUGUGGGUUCGAGUCUCGUGCCCACUGCUCCGGGUGUGUGUUCAUGGUGUAUGUGUGUUCACUGCUGUGUGUGUGCACUUUGGAUGGGUUAAAUGCAGAGCACAAAUUCUGCAUGAGUAUGCUGAGUGUUCGUUGCACUCGUGCUGUGCUGUAGCCUUCGUAGCUCACAAAGCUAGGACUGUUGCACUGUGCAGCUCUUUGAAGGCCUGGUGGCCCCCUGGCAAGAACCAUUCGUCCAGAUGGCUACGAGUGGGCUUCUCCGGUGUAGACCACUCCAAUCCCAGCCCUUCGACCGCUUUAGAGAGAACACAGGAAAGUUCAGCAUCCAUCCUGUCAUGCUUGCCGUCGAUGGGAUAGGCAGGCGGCAAAGGGGGUGGGGUCAGUAGUAAAGCACGACAUCUCCUCCGUGUCUUACGCUGUUAAAGACAUGCUGUCAUCUAAUAGUUCGUCCUCCAUCACAUUGAACGAGACCAUGUCACUCGCAUCAGCCGAGUGAACUAGGGCUGGGCGAUAUGGACCUAAAAAAAAAUCAAAAUUUACGAUUUAAAUCGAUUUUUUUUGCCCCCCUACAAUAUUCAAAUGACAAAGAAAUUGUUCAAAACAAGUUUAAAUAUAAUUCUUUAGUUAUUAUUUACCAGUCAAAUUUAUAACUGAGAAGAUUAUUUAUUUUUAGUUUUUUAAAUUUAAUACUAGCCCAUCAUGCAUUUAACAAUCCACUCGGCGUUAAGAGCUGUUAAGAUUAAAACUGACAACUAUGCAGUGAGUGAUUUUUUUCUUAUAUAAAUUAUUUGUAAAUAGAGCAGACACUGUCUAACUGUGUCUACACCGGACACGAGAGUUGUUGUUCCGUGCCCGCUUGACAUCACACUACAGGUGCAAAUCAUCUGAACGUAGUGUCAGAACAUUUCGUCAUAAAUAGAACGAGCAUCAGUUUACUGAUGGGGAUCAUGUCGCAUCACGCCGUGUCCAGUUUAGACAACAUCACUGGGUACUAUUGUCUUUUGUCGGAUCGCGCCACUCGUGUAGACAUUGCAUGCAUUAUUUAAUGGGUUAUGUUACAGCCCUGCUUGUCUUUAAUGUUUUUAUUAAAUAUCUGUAUUGACUGCAUGAUCAUAUCAUUGUAUUAUUUACUGCCAUGCGAGCCACAAAAGUAAAGCUUGGUGAGCCGCGCAACGAGCAUUGCUGCAGGUUGCAUUUUGGUGGAUAUGCUGUGCUUGUGCUGCCGUGGUCUUGUUCAUUUUGCUGGGCAAAACAUCUCUCUCACUCGGUAACAGAGUAUGUGAGUGGAGUGGAGCGGCAACUAUUUCCCUCCGCGCUCCGAGCAUUUAAUAAUCACUCCUCUCCAGCUUCAGUCCGUGCUUACUGAUACCAGAAACACCGCUCCGCCUUCGCUCCGUGGAUAAAGUAUUUCAGUAUGUUUGAAAUGUUAUGUUCAUAACGUAGCCUAUAUUAAAAUAAAAAAUAAAUAAAAUAACAGUAUAGUUUCAAAGUGGUUUAGGCUAUUGUGUGCGAACUUUUUUUCCUUCCACAUGCCAAACUAAUAACAUUGUCAGCAUUAAAAGGUAUAAUUGCUGCUUUCUGCUGUGCAAAUUUUGUUUGUGAUGAAAAUAGCAGUUCAUUUUCGUCAGUUAUUUUAUCUACGGAUCGAUGCAUUUCUUUCAGAAUUCAAAAUCAUUCAAAAUCGGAUACAGAUGAAGUACUGUAAGAUUACAUUUGUUUGAAUGCAUUAUUGUGAAAGCGAUUGCAUGUGAAUAUGCUGUAUCUGUUUAAAUCAUGCUUUAAGCCGAAAAUAAUCAGUAAAAGGAACAGACAAACUCCUUGAGAACUAGCCUAUAACUUCCCGCUCAGUUAUUGCUGUCAUUAUAAUCUUCUGAUUUGAGAGAUCCAUCUGUAUCAAGCUAUAGCUAAAUAUGUUUAACAUGUGAAUUAUUGCUAAAUAUGCAGUUAUAGCACGGGCCGU
rnacentral:lncRNA from 1 species